UUGGGGAUUUUGCACAAUGGAGGAAACUCUGAUGCAGCGACACUGCGUGAAGGAAGAAGGUUUUCGGAUCGUAAACUUCUUUUAGCGGGGAGUAAUCUUGAAAGUACCCGCUGAAUAAGGACCGGCUAACUACGUGCCAGCAGCCGCGGUAAUACGUAGGGUCCGAACGUUAUCCGGAAUUAUUGGGCGUAAAGAGUUCGUAGGUGGUCUUGUAAGUUGAGUAUAAAAGCUCUCGGCUCAACCGAGAAAUUGUACACAAAACUACAAGGCUUGGGGUUUGCAGGGGCAGAUGGAAUUCAUGGUGUAGCAGUGGAAUGCGUAGAUAUCAUGAAGAACACCAAUGGCGAAGGCAGUCUGCUAGGCAUCACCUGACACUGAGGAACGAAAGCGUGGGUAGCGAACGGG
rnacentral:rRNA from 1 species